AUGGCCGACGCGGGCCAAAGUGUAGUAUCUGUUCUUAUCGGCUUAAUUUAUGAUACGGGUUGUAUUUGGACCCAAGAUAGUAAACUUAUUUUUGCAAGUUGGCGGGGUGCUUGAAGCCUGCUUCACCUCCGCCGCAAGUCGGCCCGGUAUUGAUUGCGCUAUCAUCUGGACUUUUGGUCUAUACAGA